GAUGAACGCUGGCGGCGUGCCUAAUACAUGCAAGUCGAGCGAAUGGAUUAAGAGCUUGCUCUUAUGAAGUUAGCGGCGGACGGGUGAGUAACACGUGGGUAACCUGCCCAUAAGACUGGGAUAACUCCGGGAAACCGGGGCUAAUACCGGAUAACAUUUUGAACCGCAUGGUUCGAAAUUGAAAGGCGGCUUCGGCUGUCACUUAUGGAUGGACCCGCGUCGCAUCAGCUAGUUGGUGAGGUAACGGCGCACCAAGGCAACGAUGGGGAGCCGGCCUGGGAGGGUGAUCGGCCAGCAUUGGACUGCGGCACGGCCCAGACGCCUACGGGAGGCAGGAGUAGGGAAGCUUCCGCAAUGGACGAAAGUCUGACGGGGCAACGCCGCGGGAGUGAUGAAGGCUUUCGGGUCGUAAAACUCUGUUGUUAGGGAAGAACAAGUGCUAGUUGAAUAAGCUGGCACCUUGACGGUACCUAACCAGAAAGCCACGGCUAACUACGUGCCAGCAGCCGCCGUAA
rnacentral:rRNA from 1 species